GACGAACGCUGGCGGCGUGCUUAACACAUGCAAGUCGAACGGAAAGGCCCUGCUUUUGUGGGGUGCUCGAGUGGCGAACGGGUGAGUAACACGUGAGUAACCUGCCCUUGACUUUGGGAUAACUUCAGGAAACUGGGGCUAAUACCGGAUAGGAGCUCCUGCUGCAUGGUGGGGGUUGGAAAGUUUCGGCGGUUGGGGAUGGACUCGCGGCUUAUCAGCUUGUUGGUGGGGUAGUGGCUUACCAAGGCUUUGACGGGUAGCCGGCCUGAGAGGGUGGCCGGCCACAUUGGGACUGAGAUACGGCCCAGACUCCUACGGGAGGCAGCAGUGGGGAAUAUUGCACAAUGGGCGGAAGCCUGAUGCAGCAACGCCGCGUGCGGGAUGACGGCCUUCGGGUGGUAAACCGCUUUCGCCUGUGACGAAGCGUGAGUGACGGUAAUGGGUAAAGAAGCACCGGCUAACUACGU
rnacentral:rRNA from 1 species